GCCUGGGUAGCUCAGUUGAUUCAGCAUCCGACUUCGGCUCAGGUCAUGAUCUCACAGUUCGUGGGUUCAAGCCCUGCCUUGGGCU
rnacentral:tRNA from 1 species